GUAGUCUCGCACAGAUGCAUAUCAAUAAGCGGAGGAAAAGAAACUAACAAGGAUUCCCCUAGUAACGGCGAGUGAAGCGGGAAGAGCUCAAAUUUGAAAUCUUAAAGGGUUUCCCUUUACGAAUUGUAGUUUAAAGAGGUGUUUUCUGUUGAGGUUUUGGUAAAAGUUCUUUGGAAUAGGACAUCAUAGAGGGUGAGAAUCCCGUAUUUGACCUUUACUUUCAACUUUGUGAUACACUUUCAAAGAGUCGGAUUGUUUGGGAAUGCAGUCCAAAAUGGGUGGUAAAUUUCAUCUAAAGCUAAAUAUUGGCGAGAGACCGAUAGCGAACAAGUACCGUGAGGGAAAGAUGAAAAGAACUUUGAAAAGAGAGUUAAACAGUACGUGAAAUUGUCAAAAGGGAAGCGUUUGACACCAGUGUUGUUUUUCUGAAAAUCAAUUAAAGAACUGUUUAUGCUAAGCUGUUUAGACUUUAUCAGCUAACUGUUUAGUUUUGAGCUUUUCUUUAAUGCACUUUUCAGUUAACAAGGUCAACAUCAAUUUCUUUUGCUGUAAAAAAGCUUGAGGAAGGUGGCUUGAGAUUCGUCUUAAGUGUUUAUAGCCUCUUGCCUAUGCAGUCGGAGAGAUUGAGGUCUGCAGCGUAGAUCCUUCGGGGCUAAAUGCAUUUGUGCUAAGUUAUAGCAUUUUAUAGACAACUUGUUGACUAUGAUUUGUCUUGUAGCUUACUCGCUUAUGUUAUUUUACCUACGCUUAGGAUGUUGAAGACUCUACAGAGAU
rnacentral:rRNA from 1 species